AAUAAAAAAAUAAACGAAAGUGAAACUAGUUAAUAAAAACUAAAUAUACACUUCUUUUUCUAUUUUUUUCUUUAAUAUUUACUUUUCAAU
rnacentral:ribozyme from 13 species